UACGUAGGGGGCAAGCGUUGUCCGGAUUUAUUGGGCGUAAAGAGCGUGUAGGCGGCCAAGUAAGUCUGCUGUGAAAACUCGAGGCUUAACCUCGAGCUGUCGGCGGAAACUAUUUGGCUAGAGUCCGGAAGAGGAGAAUGGAAUUCCCGGUGUAGCGGUGAAAUGCGCAGAUAUCAGGAGGAACACCGGUGGCGAAGGCGGAUCUCUGGGCCUUACCUGACGCUCAGGUGCGAAAGCUAGGGGAGCGAACAGG
rnacentral:rRNA from 1 species